rnacentral:rRNA from 1 species
UACGGGGGGGGGUAAGCGUUGUUCGGAAUUACUGGGCGUAAAGAGCUCGUAGGCGGUUCGGCAAGUCAGCUGUGAAAUCUCCACGCUCAACGUGGAGGGGUCAGCUGAUACUGCUGUGACUCGAGUCCGGUAGGGGAGUGUGGAAUUCCCGGUGUAGCGGUGAAAUGCGUAGAUAUCGGGAAGGAACGACCCGGUGGCGAAAGGC